AGUGGGAUAGCUGGGUUAAAUGGUGGUUUCAUUCCAAGUUUCCGGAGGAGUCUCCAUACUGCUUUCCAGAAUGGUUGCACCAAUUUGCAGUCCCACCAGCCAU
rnacentral:pre_miRNA from 1 species